rnacentral:rRNA from 1 species
UACGUAGGUGGCAAGCGUUAUCCGGAUUUAUUGGGCGUAAAGCGAGCGCAGGCGGUUUGAUAAGUCUGAUGUGAAAGCCUUUGGCUUAACCAAAGAAGUGCAUCGGAAACUGUCAGACUUGAGUGCAGAAGAGGACAGUGGAACUCCAUGUGUAGCGGUGGAAUGCGUAGAUAUAUGGAAGAACACCAGUGGCGCAGGCGGCUGUCUGGUCUGCAACUGACGCUGAGGCUCGAAAGCAUGGGUAGCGAACAGG